rnacentral:tRNA from 1 species
GCUCCGGUAGUAUAGUCCGGUCAAGUAUUCCGGCCUUUUCUCACCCCGUCAGAGGUGGGAGGCCAAUCGAGCCGGAAACCCGGGUUCGAAUCCCGGCCGGAGCA